rnacentral:rRNA from 1 species
AUGGGUGAUGUCUUGAUUGGAGGAAAUUCCACGGGAUUAUGUGCGUCUCGCUGUGCAGCUAUAGCAGAUUCUGGAACUUCAUUGCUUUCUGGUCCCACAGCCAUAAUUACUCAAAUAAAUGAAAAGAUCGGUGCACCUGGGGUAGUCAGCCAAGAGUGCAAGGCCGUUGUUUCUCAGUAUGGGCAGAGGAUCCUAGAUCUGUUGUUAAAGGAGAUCGAUCCAUCAAAAAUAUGCUCUUUAGUCGGUUUAUGUACUCCUGAUGGAACACAAGGUGUAAGGGCUGGUAUUCAGAGUGUGCUAGAUCAUGAAGUUGGGAGAUCAAAUGAUGUCAUGUGUCAUGCUUGUGAGAUGGCUGUUGUAUGGAUGACGAACCAACUUGCAAAGAAUCAAACUCAAGAUCUUAUUUUAAAUUCAACUUUGCAGCUAUGUGACCGUAUUCCUAGCCCUAUGGGAGAAUCAUCUGUGGACUGCAGCAGACUUGCAUCCAUGCCUGACGUCGCCUUCUCCAUCGGGGGCAAACAGUUUGUGCUGACACCGGAGCAAUACAUCCUGAAGAUGGGUGAGGGAGAUGCUACCCAGUGCAUCAGUGGACUCACAGCCAUGGACAUUCCUCCUCCCGGUGGCCCUCUCUGGAUCCUGGGCGAUAUAUUCAUGGGAGCCUACCAUACCGUCUUCGAUUAUGGCAACAUGAAGGUUGGGUUCGCCAAGGCGGCAUAG